rnacentral:rRNA from 1 species
UACGGGGGGAGCAAGCGUUGUUCGGAUUUACUGGGCGUAAAGGGCGCGUAGGCGGCCACCGCAAGUCGACUGUGAAAUCUCCGGGCUUAACCCGGAAAGGUCAGCCGAUACUGCGGGGCUAGAGUGCAGAAGGGGCAACUGGAAUUCUCGGUGUAGCGGUGAAAUGCGUAGAUAUGUGGAGGAAUACCGAUGGCGAAGGCAGCCUCCUGGGCCAACACUGCCGCUCAUGCACGAAAGCGUGGGGAGCAAACAGG